UACGAAGGGGGCUAGCGUUGUUCGGAAUUACUGGGCGUAAAGCGCACGUAGGCGGGUCGUUAAGUCAGGGGUGAAAUCCCGGAGCUCAACUCCGGAACUGCCUUUGAUACUGGCGAUCUAGAGGUCGAGAGAGGUGAGUGGAAUUCCGAGUGUAGAGGUGAAAUUCGUAGAUAUUCGGAAGAACACCAGUGGCGAAGGCGGGUCUCUGGGCAGUAACUGACGCUGAGGAGCGAAAGCGUGGGGAGCGAACAGG
rnacentral:rRNA from 1 species